CCAAAAAAGGAUAUAGCCACCACCAUUUAUAAUUAAUUCAGGCCCCACUUCACUCUGUCCCACCUGCUUUCUGUCUCUCUCUCUCUCUUUUUUUUUUUAAGAUCUUUUUCUGAUAUGCCUGGUUGCCCCAAUGCAAGUCUCCUCUUUCUGAAGCUUCCUGUGCCACCAGGGGCCUGUCCACCUCAGAGACCUCUCAGGUGCAGCUCAGCUGCAUCCACAGGGGGUCCUGAGUCCCUAGGCCCUGCACAGAUGUCUACCCAGGUUCUCUUGGUCUCUUCCAUAGCUAUGAGGCCUCCUCAUUGAGGGUGCCCAAACACCACCCUUAAUCACAAGUUUGCCAGCCUCCACCUUCUAACCCUCCUAGACCACAUCAGCCCCUGCCUUAUUCCAGUAUUUUCCUGAUUUCGCCUAUUUCCAGCUUCCCUCAGCCAUUCACAAGCACAGCCUGAUGCUGUGCAUAGGAAGACCUGGCAGUAAGCCUAUGGUGAACAAAUAUUUUUAAUGAACAAACAGAAAUUAUGGCCCCAAACUGAAAACACCCUGGAAGCCACAAACUCUGUUACCUUCAAAAGAAGCCAGAUCUGGACCGCUGAGGUUUUUAAAAAAUGCAAUGAGCGAAUUAGUGAAAUCAGUUCAUCACGGACACUGUGUCUUUCAGGAAAUGAAGCCUCCGAAGAAAAAAGGGAUCCUAGCCCCUGCCAAAUUCCAUUCUGUUUCAAAUUAGCCUUCCAGUAAAAUGAGGGGGCUGUCCUAACUGGUCUUUAAGGUCCUCCUAGUACCAGAGCUCUGAGGCUCUGUAUUUCCCCUGAACAACCUCUUGGAACUCUCCACAUUCUCAUAACAGAAGAAAAUGCAUUUGUGCUCUGGGCUGAAGCUCAGAAGUGGGCUUUCACGACAGUCAUUUCAGGCCUGUUUCCCUUUUUCUCCCUUCCCUGAAAGGGCCUCUGGUCUUUCCCAAGCUGCCUGAGUAGAAGGAAACACACAGCUCCCCCAGAGCAGAGAGGCCCGCGAGAGGGAAAGCUGGCCCAGGCCCAGGGCAGGCUCGCCUCUGACUCUGCAGGGACAUUAUUCCCUCCCAGCCAGCAGGGAACUUCUGGAACUUCUAAACAGCACAUCCUCGAGCCAGCCCAGGCCCCCACAGCAUCCUGCACCCCAGGUUUACAAGCUUUUUAAUGGAAGAUAACUUUGGCAGCAGAAUGGGAAGAAGAUUGGAUGGGAGAGAGAUCAAAGGCUGGGAGAUUCUAAGAGGCUGUUGCAGUAUAGUCGAGGUUUGUCUGCCAGUGGAGUCCAUGUUUCCACCACUGUCCUACAUGGCCUCUCCUCACGAAUGGCUCCAACCUCCUGGGUGCGAUGGAUGAAGCCGGGUGCAGAGAUGGAAAGAGCAGCCCAACUUUCCUAACUGGAGGACUGAAGCGAGAGCUCUCACUGUCGGCCUAGUGUGGAUUGACUCCUUUCCACCACAUUCCCCAACCAAGGACAGUCUAUACCAAGCUCACAGCACUGAGGCGCUGGGGGAGGGCCAGCCCACACCUAGCCCCGUCAAUCUUGGUGGCAUGGACUCCCUCCUAAAGCUUUCUCAGGAGGCCCCAUUUCCUACUGCAGCGGGGCAAGAAUUCAGGAGGAGCCCACUCAAAGGGGAGACAGAGGCAGUGCUCCCUGUGAGCAGCUCUUCCUCCUCAGAGCUGUCAUGGACAAUUGGAGAGAAAAACCGGGACAUUCUCCCCAACCAGGAUAUUUUGUAUGCUUUGCACUUACUGCUGCGUUCCCUUCAUCUAAAAGCUCUAAAAUUUCAAAUAAAAAGGUACAAUGAAA
ensembl:lncRNA novel transcript